GACGAACGCUGGCGGCGUGCUUAACACAUGCAAGUCGAACGGAAAGGCCUGCUUUCCCUUGUGGAUUGCGGGUACUCGAGUGGCGAACGGGUGAGUAACACGUGAGUGAUCUGCCCCCAACUUGGGUAUAAGCCUGGGAAACUGGGUCUAAUUCCCGAUAGGACUGCAGGGUGGUGCCUGUGGUUGAAAACGAUUUUCUAGUGGUUGGGGAUGAGCUCGCGGCCUAUCAGCUUGUUGGUGGGGUAAUGGCCUACCAAGGCGGCGACGGGUAGCCGGCCUGAGAGGGUGGACGGCCACAUUGGGACUGAGAUACGGCCCAGACUCCUACGGGAGGCAGCAGUGGGGAAUAUUGCACAAUGGGCGGAAGCCUGAUGCAGCGACGCCGCGUGGGGGAUGACGGCCUUCGGGUUGUAAACUCCUUUCGACCGCGAGGAAGCCACCUGGUUGGAAGGGUGGUGACGGUAGUGGUAGAAGAAGCACCGGCUAACUACGU
rnacentral:rRNA from 1 species